rnacentral:antisense_RNA from 1 species
CUUGACCGACCCGAGCCACAACGGUUGCUCCUCGGCCCGGUCCUGCCCGUACGCGGCCAGCAGUGCCGUCGCCUC